GCUACAUGUAUUGAGUUCUAUCUCUUGUAUAUAUAAGUAGCACCUGUGUUAAUGACACUUGACAAUCUGCCUCAACUGCCAGAUCCAAGAGUACAUCAUUCCGAAUGCACAAUAUAUGCUGAUCAUCAUAAGAGGCAAGAAAGGAAGCCUCUCAGCAAAGAUAAUAGGAUGAACAAAUUGUCCAUAUAUCUCAACCGCCACGAGACCUAGCAAGUAUAACUUCCCAAACCAUCCCACGAUGAAACUCGUUUUGUUAUAUCUUGUCUGUUCACUUUCAGCUGCUUUUCUAUUAGUUGUUGUAAAAUGAGAGGAGAACCCAAUCCACAUCAGUGUAGCAUGUAAAAGCAGUAAGAGAACCUUAAUUGGAUACUCUUGGGCUUCAAAUAACAACGGGAAUAGAGAAUAGCAGGACACUAUGGACAAAUAGAAAUAGUGUUUUGCAUCUUCCACACUUUUCAACGAAAUGAUGGCAAGGGGAAUCACAAAGUGAAGUGAAGCUUUCUCAUGGACAUGCCAGCCAAACAUAAAGCCGCAUGUGUAAGCAUAGGCUAUCCAUCUAGUAAUCAUCCUUGGUUGGG
rnacentral:misc_RNA from 1 species